rnacentral:rRNA from 1 species
UACGAAGGGGGCUAGCGUUGCUCGGAAUUACUGGGCGUAAAGCGCACGUAGGCGAAUUGUUAAGUCGGGGGUGAAAUCCUGGAGCUCAACUCCAGAACUGCCUUCGAUACUGGCGAUCUAGAGUCCGGGAGAGGUGAGUGGAACUGCGAGUGUAGAGGUGAAAUUCGUAGAUAUUCGCAAGAACACCAGUGGCGAAGGCGGCUCACUGGCCCGGUACUGACGCUGAGGUGCGAAAGCGUGGGGAGCAAACAGG